AAAAGUGCAUGAAGUUAGAUAUAACUAUCUAGAGUAGGGCUAUUUUAUUCUUAUAAGUAUAGAAUUUUUUAUAUUGAUAAGUUGUUUAUAACGAAGGAGCUUUCGAAUUGACGAUUCAUAUCAUUAAAUAUGAUCUAAAAUAUUUGAAACUUAGAGAAAGUAAAUUUUGUAAUUUUUUGAAAUUAUAAUAAAACCAUCAAGUGGAUAUAAAAUGAAUGGUUAAAAUUGAACAACAUCCUAAAAAUAGAUGAUCGGAUCCUUUAAUUUAAAAUCAGAGUUAUUCAUCUUCAUCUAGAUAGUGAAUAAAAUUUUUCAUCAAAAAUUCAAUCAAUUCUAAUUCUUUUAUAUCAUUAAACUAACAAGUAUUCCAUAUCAGCCAUUAAAAGUUAUCAAUUUUUAGAUCUUUUGAAUGUAAUGUAAAUGAUGCCGAAGAAUUAUGAAACUUAGUUUUAAAAAGUUAAAAAUGUUCUAAAUCAUGUUUAACGGUAUGAAUCGUCGAUUCGAAAGUUUUAUCAUCGAAAACGACAUAUGAGUAUAAUGACGAUCAUAUUCAUAAGAAUAUAGUAGCCGGACUCCUAUUAUCUAUUAUUUUAAAUUACUCUACCAACGCAUCUCCAACUACGUCCGAUUUAUGCAUAGUUGGAGAUGCAGUAGCUGGGCCUCUUGUUGGAUUUAGAUAACGUGAUUUAUUUAAGGCGAUAUAUAAAGAUACAAUCGAUCUAUUCAAAACGAUCUGUAAAGAUACUGUCAAUUCAACUAUUAGGAUAUAUAUAUUUGGACACGUUCUUGAUGGAUGGAUACGAUUUAACAUCCUUACAUUGGAUUAUAUAAAUAUAUGUAACAUACGAGAGUCUUAGUCUAAUCCUAAUUCUAAUUUCCGUAACGGUUCCAUAUCCGAGGAUAAGAAAAUAAGCUCAAUCAGAUCAUGAAUUAGGACGAAUCACAAGCAAGAAUUGCUGUUUACAAUCCCUAUCUGUAAAUCGAAAUAAUACCAGAAGAUACGAUUAUAAUUUUUCAUAAAGUUUAACACCUCUAA
rnacentral:lncRNA from 1 species